rnacentral:rRNA from 1 species
UGGGGAAUUUUGGACAAUGGGCGAAAGCCUGAUCCAGCAAUGCCGCGUGUGUGAAGAAGGCCUUCGGGUUGUAAAGCACUUUUGUCCGGAAAGAAAUCCUUGGCUCUAAUACAGUCGGGGGAUGACGGUACCGGAAGAAUAAGCACCGGCUAACUACGUGCCAGCAGCCGCGGUAAUACGUAGGGUGCAAGCGUUAAUCGGAAUUACUGGGCGUAAAGCGUGCGCAGGCGGUUUGCUAAGACCGAUGUGAAAUCCCCGGGCUCAACCUGGGAACUGCAUUGGUGACUGGCAGGCUAGAGUAUGGCAGAGGGGGGUAGAAUUCCACGUGUAGCAGUGAAAUGCGUAGAGAUGUGGAGGAAUACCGAUGGCGAAGGCAGCCCCCUGGGCCAAUACUGACGCUCAUGCACGAAAGCGUGGGGAGCAAACAGGAUUAGAUACCCUGGUAGUCCACGCCCUAAACGAUGUCAACUAGUCGUUGGGGAUUCAUUUCCUUAGUAACGUAGCUAACGCGUGAAGUUGACCGCCUGGGGGAGUACGGUCGCAAGAUUAAAACUCAAAGGAAUUGACGGGGUCAUAGCUGUUUCCU